CCCAGAGUUCCCUGGGAAGAGGGACUGAUUGUUAAGCCUGGGCCACUUCAGGUUGAUAAGGUAAACUCAACCCUGAAACUGCCAAAAUUAUUGUAGUAAUUGGUAGUUAUAGAGUUAAAUAUUAUCUCCAAUUAUUAUGUUUUGGAGAUAAGAACAAACUAAAAGGUGGAUUCUUAUGUUCCUAUGUUGUUGUGCCUUAGCCUAUUCACCAGUAAGCAACCUCACGCUCUGGGCCUACAAAACCUUACUUUAUAUUAAAUAAAUAAGAACAUAACCAUUAUGAAGAGAUAUUGAAGAUUCUAAAACUCUUCAAAUGAGGUAGAAAAAUUGCACCCUCUUUUGCAAGGAGAGACAACAUUUGGGAAAUUGGAAAAGAGCGUUUGUGGGGGUUGAGGGCUGCAACUGGGAAGAAGAAUCAGCUAACACACACACAGUCACACAGUGUGUGUGCAGAAAUGCUUCUUCUUUGUGUGUGUGGAUCUUUAGAUGCAAGCCUUUAGAGAUGGUAAUGAUUUGCUGGAGCACUUUCAGCAGUGAAUAUGGCGACCAAGGAUGUGGCUGUUAAAUCAGGCAGACUUUGAGAGGAAUCAAAUGAGGCUUUGUAUGCUCUUGAACUGGAUUAUCGGACGGGCUUUUCACACAUUCUUGUGUCUAACUCAUAUGCUUCCAUGGCUCUUCAGAGUAUUUACGUACAUAUUGCUGACAAUAUUGUAUCUGACAGAGAAAUGUGUUUAUAAAUUGGGUGUUUAUGGGGAAAUAUGGAAUCUCUGCAGCUAGUGGUAUUGUUGAGUCUUAAACAAUAAAAUGUUCCUCUAAGAAACAAAGCUACAGAGACACUUGUUUAAGGGAGCCAUUUCAAAAUAUUAUUUGUAAUUUUCAUCUCCUUUAAUUUCGAGUUGCAUUGAAAAAAGAGUUUCCUUCUUUUUAAAAUGUGUUUUUCUUUUCCCCUAGCCUGUGAUAUCAUUGCCAUCAGCAUGGAAUUGGUGUAUCAUCAGCAACAAGACCAAAGCAAAAACAAUGUCAGUAAAAGAGAAAGGAAGAAACUAUGCUACUGCAACUACUAAUGGUGGGCUUUGCCCCCAACAAAUUGUUGGAGAAUUUCCACACCCCUGAAGAAUUUUCAUGAAAUGAGUUUCAUACAAAUAAGGUAGAGAAUUUUGAUAGGCCAUUUGCACACAGCUCUAUGUACCUGUACAGCUUUCUCUCAAGCAACAGCAAUUGACAGCAUGAUGAGGUGCUGCCACUCACCUGAUCUGCAGUCAGUUGUGUUGCUGCUGCUUAGUGGAAGGUAGAGAGGGAGGGAGGAGCCAUCAGCAAGGUCAGCAUGGUGCAAACUCAUGGGCAGGGUCAAUGUUGUGCUCUUGACAUGGUUCUUCAACGGCACCAACCUCACCACCACCUUACCCUCUCCCCCGAUCUACUGUACCUUCCAGUCUGUAGCAGUGACAUGGCCAGGUGAGGAACACCACCUCAACACGCCUUCUGCUAGAAUACCCAUUCUGUGUGUUUUCAGCCAAGAGGGCAGUUCACAGCACAAGCCCUUUUUGAACUCAUUCUCACCUCCUGGAUGUUCAGGUUAUAUGAUAAUAAAAAUAAUUAAUAUCAAACGAAGAUUUUUUUAAAGGAAUGUUGACAGCCCAAUACAGAAACAAGUUUGUGUGUCAUUGGAGGGGUGAAGGAAAAAUGAGUCAAAUUCACCCAGAAAAGGGUGUCCAACCCCUGUUUGUAGAAGCAUUUGGAGACAAACUUCUUCAAAUAAAAUUAAUCAGCACAGAGAGAAAGACAAACAGUGGCAAGUGCAGAGAAGAGAAGCCCAGCUACAGCUUAGGAAAAGUUACUUUUUGAUUAGAACAUUUUUGAGGGUUGAAAUCAUUUGACUUCAAGCUCUUUUCCAUUGUCUGCACUUUUAUUUCCCAGGAUAUAAAUCCAUUUUGUAAUUACUCCACUAGUCUUAUCUCAGAAACUUUGCCUGACACACCAUUCCAUAUGUUUAUGAUUCUCUGAAUGAAAAAGUGCUCCCUGACAACCGUUCAGAUUUUUCCUUUAAUUUCCAUUUAUGCCUUAUUGUCUUAGAAUGUUGAACUGGAAAUAUAUGUUGCAAUAUUGUGUGACAUUAUCUGUAUUACUUAAGAUUUUAUAUACCCAUACAUCAACCAAACAUCAGAUAAAUCUCGUGGUUGCUCUUUUUUUCCUCCCUUCAUCUUCUUUUCUACUGCUCUGUAGGUAAUAGAUUCAAUUUAGUCUCUGUGACAAGUUAACUUUAAGGGUUUCUCACAAAACUAGGAGAGAAUACAUCUACAUUUGGGUUUGAAUUAUUCAGAAAUGGCUCCAAGUAUCCCCCCCCCCAUUGUAGAGUAGGAAAAAUAAGUUGGAUUUAAUAAAACUCUCAUUUGCUUAUAAAAUUAUUUGUAAAUUAAACAAUAUUUAUGAUUAUUAACAGAUCAGUCAGUAAAUUAUAAUCAAACCAAUACAAUUUUACAGUUUACAGAUUUGCAAAUUACAGCCCAAUCCACAACCCUGAGAAAUGUAGCUUAAUUGUAUCAUAAACCACAGUAGCUGAUCUGAUUAAAAUCCAAGAAUUUUGGAUUAGAUGUUCUGCGAAGUGGAGGUUACUACUGCGACACAAUAAUGGCCCAAUCUUUUAGCAGCUGCUACCUGCCUGUGCAGGACUAAUUAAUGACAGCAUCCUAAAGGAAGUUAAGAUGCAUGCCAUGAGUAUGAGGUGCACUUCAGUGUAGCUAGUUUCAGAAUAAGGAUCUAGGGAAUUCCAACAUGCACCUCAAUUAGGCAAACAGAAUUAAAUUCCAAUGAAAUAAUGUUUUUGUGAUUAGGGUGUUAAGCAAUUACCCAGCUACACACACACACACCUAUUUGUGAUCCUGCAAUACUGAUUUCUAAAUACUUAUGGUUAUGUUCAGAGAUGAAGCAGAGCAUUUCCCCACCUUAUUUAUCAUACACUGGCACAGAAACAAAAUCAGUCUUCCGAAGAUUCUGAUUACUUGUGAGCAAGUUUCUUGUCAGCAGUUUUCAAAAUGUACAAUGGAAUUAAUCUUCUGCAAGGUGGAGGUACAGUCUAUCAGCUAAGCCUCUCUCCCUACCCUUCUCCCACACCCCUAUUUAGCUUCUCGCAGAAUAUAUGGUUGUGAUAAAUUAGCAGGAGUUGGAGGUGCAACCAUUUCAAUUCUGUUUUCAUUCUGCGCUGUCAGAAGAAAACGACACUAAUUGUUUUGUCUUGCUCAGGUGAAACAAAUGGAGCUUUAGGGGAGGGGGAAAAUUAAAUAUCAACAUGUACCUUUGUAAGUCCCAGUUUUACUGCUGUUUAUUUGAUUAAAUUUGAAAAUAUUAACCCCAGUCCAGAAACCAGGAAACUGCAAAAAAAAAAAAGACAUUUAUAGAUUUUAUUUCUGGAAAUAUCACUGAAAUGCUUUUGUCUAGAGCUACAACGUAUUUAAUAAGGCCGUGCAACUGAUUUUUCCUAAUCCUGAAUGGAAUUCAGCCGAUUCGUACUGAUUUGUACCAAAUCUGGAUUGGGUUGAGGCAGCUAUAAAUUGCUAGAGUUGGGUGGAUCCAAACUGAUUUGUAGCAAUUUGUGUUGAUCUGGAGCUCAAAAUGUUCUCUGAUAAAGCCAGACCUACUAUCACCAAAGCAUUUAAUUUAUUGAUUACAACACCAUAUAAGGAGAACACCAGGGCAAGGGAAGAGGGAGGCUCAUUGGCAAUUCUAGCUUCCAAUUCAGGGCUUACAAUCUCACCCAACCCACUCAGUGCUUGGGGAGAAGGAAGUUCACAUUGCUAUCACUCUUAUAAACUCUAUCUCUUAGAAAGACUUUGGUGGCAUUUGUUCGGCUUCUGUUUUGUUUUCUUCACAGUACUCUGACAAGCCUUAUACCUGUUUGCUAUCCACCCCUAAUCAAUCCCAAUCCCAUCUUUAUACAAAUACAGUAAAAGGUUUUUUUCCGGGUCCUAAUCUUAGUUACUUAGGCAAUGUCACUUACCUUAUGUCCUGCUCCCAUUUUGGCCCUAGUUUUUAAGGUUUGGUUUGUAUUUUAUUUACAGGUGUGUUCUGUUUUCUGUGUUGGUCUUUAUUAGUACAUGUGUUUGUUUGUUUGUUUGUUUGUUUGUUUGUUUGUGGGGGGGUAAGUAUUAUGAGUACAUUGUGCAUAGUCAGUGCACAAGCAGCACACAUACAGGGUAAUAUUACAUAUAUCAGUCUUUUUUAAAAAAAAUCUUUUUUGGGGGGGAAAGCAAACUUUAAAGGUGGCUGGCAUAAAAAUCUCUUGAUUAACCUGUCUGAAAUUUGCCAUGAUAAAUCCUGCCUUGAGGGGUUAUCAUGUAUCCAAAUUUCAUGCACUAUGUGAAAAAGCUAAAAAGCUGUGUACAUUUUGGUUUCCCAGAGCAAGUGAAUAGUAUUACAAGGUUUGGAUUUCUGGAUCAGGUCCAGAUUGAUCCAAAUUAAACUGGAGCCAGAUCUGGAUUGUCACAUUGGAUGGGUGUGUGUGGAUUACACGGCCCUCAUAUUGAAACCAGUUGCUGACUUGGUUUGCUCACAUACCAAAACCUCACUGUCUGAUAUGGUAAUCAUAUCACUACAAUGCAAAUUUUCUUUCAUUUACAGCACAAACUGCACAUUCCAACCACAUAUGAACUAUAAUGAAUCAGAAUUUGACAUUGUGAAUGGAGAACAAAAUGAAUUGGAGCCACACCUAUCCAUGCAUUGAGUAGACCCACUGAAAUCAACGGGACUUAGGUAAGUCAUAAGUAGGUCGGUGCUUAACUAUGGCUGGAUCGUGCUAACAUAGUGCAAUGCAAAAUAGUGAAGCCAUGAGAACUCACUCAGCUGUGCAUAAUAGAGGCAUAGUUAAAAACACAAUUAAAAAUUAAAAAGUGUCUUGAUCUGAAAAUAUUAUAUAUGUAUUCAUCCACUUCAAAUCAGUUUCCAUAUUCUUUUUGCCAUUAAUCUUCAGUAUCACACUCAAAACAGGUGUUUCAACAGCCCAUUAAUUGCUUAUAAAUCUACCCGUGCUUCUUUCCAAAGUGCAGAGCAGUAGGAGAAAGUCAUCACUGUUUCUUUGCUUCAUUCAAAGCUGCAACCCAACUUGCUGGGAAGCAAGUUUCAUUGAACUAUGUAAACCAUAUUGGACUGUUAUUGAGUUCAGUGAAGGAUUGGAAAGUUGACCUUGGGUCCCAUUGCUUAAACCUCACUAGAAGAAGCUUCUAUACACAUUGGCUAACAUCUUCAACAUCCUUUGCUUUCUGUGUUUACUCCCGCUGAAGGCCACUUUAUUUUUAUUCAGUGGCGAAUGCCCCAAUCCGAAAGAAAGCCAGUGAAGUGUGGUGGUUGAAGAGUUCGAAAAUAAGCCUCAUUGAUGUAAUUUUAUGUGGUGAACCUCCCUGAGAUCUACAGAUGAAUACAAAUUUAAGAAAUGAUAAUUACAAUAAAAACCGAAUGAUCUAUCUUCUGUUUGUGACAAACAUCACAGUUGUUUCAGCAGAACUUACUUAAGGUAAAGACGCUUGGUGUUGCUGCAUAAUUUUGCAUGGGGAAGAGUUGACCAAAUUCACAGCAUACAUUUAAAGCACUCUUAAAGCACUCUGUCAUGACCUCCCUGAAGGAACCCUGGGACCUGUAGUUUGUUAUGGAUUCUGAGAGUGGCUAUUUCCCUCACAGAGCUACAAUUCCCAGAUUUCCCUGGGAAGAGUGAUUGUUAAACCACUCUGACAACUGUAUCUCUGUGAGAGGGGUGUGUGGGGUCUCCUAACUGCUCUCAGCAACCUUAACAAACUACAGUUCCCAAGAUUCUUUAGGGGAAGCCAUAACUGUUUAAGGUGCUAGAUUUGGCCCAUGUCUACUUAACAGCUGGAAACUAGUUUGCUGAGCUGCUUCUCGAUCUUCGCACAUCUGCGUCAAACUUGUAAUUAGAGAAAUGAAAAUCUUCUUCAUCUAUAGCUGUUCUCAUCAAGGGAAUGUCUUGGGAAUAAGAAUUGUAAUCUGAGACUUGUCCUGGAGCCUCACAGUGCAUCUUUGCAGUAGCUUUGUAAAAUGGGGUGGAAGGCAAAAUAGUCACAAGGAAGGUAUGACUGAUUCCCCCAAAGCUAUGAAUCAAAUUACUGAUAGACUCAAGAGAUUAACUGGGAUGGAUACUCCACCUCCAUACUCCCAAAGAUAUGUCCAUUAGAUCACCGUGUUUCGAGAGACAAGCCUCAGCAAGACGGAGAGGCAUGCACCAAAGUAAGCAAUAUUUUAAACAAGGUCUUGCCUGAAGUCAUAUUUGUAGAAAGGUGAAGUAUUUGUUCAUUUAUCAGUGUUUGGUUACUCAUCUGGCUGGCUUGAUCUUUUUUCUUUGUGUGCAGAUAGAAUUUCAAAAAGAGCUAAAUCAUUCUCUUUGAAAUCUGGCAUAAUUUGCUCCAAGGCUGAAAUUUUACUUGACUAGUUCCGGCUCAGGGACCUAACAUGAAAAUCCUGGAACAACUUUAAUUUCAGAAGCAUAAUAAACUGGCUUUUCCUGAA